UAAGCCGCGCGGAGUACCGAGUGCAAAAGUUUACUUGUCGCGAGUCGGGAGUUGGCCAUGCAUGAGGCGAGGCAAAUUAUGCUGUCGAUCGUGCAGCGACCACAGAGCUUCGACAAAGCAGUGCAGCUUAUCGUCAGCUCACUCCUGAACUUGUGACCGCCGUGAGCAUGGGAUUCCAGCUUCCGGCUAACGAAGGUACCACCAUUGCUGUAGAGGCCAGGGAUACCCGGGAGCAUUUGAUCGAGUGAUAGACACAACCCCUGACAGCAGCCCAAGAUAGGAAGACCUGGCUACACCUCUGCAAAGUCUGCCUUGUCCCCCUGGUGACCAGUGUCGGUUAUGGAACUAGGUGCUACUUUAGCAGAAGGCUGUCAGUUCCAUUGUCCAUUGUACUCUGCUAGCAACUGAGAUGCAAGCUGAUACACCACUUAUCACUGUUCCCGGCCUCUCUGGAAUGACAGCCACUUCAAAUAUGCAGGGCCUAAGACUGACAAGUCCCUGUGCUACCAGAUAAAUCCUGAUUUAUGAUUGAAAAUGUACCUUUAGUCAUUACUUUAUGAUAUUACAGGUCAUUCUUUUAACUGGUAUGUAAUUAUGCGUCAAUUGUAUUUUGGGCCUGACAGAUAUUGCAUAUUAUUCAUUAAUGUGUUUUUUGGAAAUAUUGUAAAGACCAAG